GUAGUCGUGGCCGAGCGGUUAAGGCGACGGGCUAGAAAUCCGUUGGGGUGUCCCCGCGCAGGUUCGAGUCCUGCCGACUACG
rfam:Felis catus isolate Cinnamon breed Abyssinian chromosome B2, whole genome shotgun sequence.